AGUUCUCCUCGACACUCUGCUGGGAGCCCAGAUCCUCCAGGACUCCGGUGAUGUAGGACAGGAGAACAUCGUCCAGGGUGCUGCAUCGAGAGGUACAAAAGGAAAAGAGGGCUACCUUUAAAAACGGAGAGAACUUUUAUACAAUCCCUGGUCCCUGAGCACGUUGUCGUUUCCCCUCAGGCCCAUUAUCGGAUCCCCUCUGCAGGCUCCAAGCAGCUGCAGUUAUUGUGGAAGACUUGACUUUUAUAGCCCCAUGAUGUUUGUGACAACACCAGCGUUUAUGAGGUGACGACCACAGAGGGCUGCAGACUCCACCCACACGAACCUGUCCCUGACUGCCCAUCACACCAACAGCCUCACACAUCAGGAAACAAAAAAUCAAAUGUGGAGAAAACCAAGAGCUGCCGACAGAGCUGCAACUGCUUCCUCAAUCAAGACCUUCGAGUGCCACAGUGCAGACUCCACCGCUGAAGACACUGACGCCUGGGACACACAGGGUGAGGAAAGUGGCAGAUGCUCUGCUGUGCAUGGUGUAUAUGCGUAUGUGUGUGUGUGUGUGUGUGUGUGUGUGUUUGUGUGUUUGUGUGAACUCCUACUGUAAGUGGGAUUUGAAGAAUUGGCACAGUCAUCUGAGCAGCGCUCCGCAUCUCUCACAAACAAAUGAAGGCCCAGUGCCUUAAAGUGAGAUUGAUAUCUCUUUCUGAACUUCACAGGGAAUGUUCUGAAUAUGGAGAGGGGUUCCUCAAUCCCAGGGGGAUCCAAAGGGCGCCUCUCCUCUUUUUCCCACCUCCACGCCAACAAUAACAGGGAAAAAUGGCCUGGGUACAUCUUCUGUGUUCAUCAAUAUUCACUCAUUCAUUGUGUGUCCUGGCAGCUGAAAUGUCGACAAGCGCAGCGCAAUGUUAUGGUGCCAGAAAUCCACUUUGUCACAGCGUUGAGGAUGUCUGAAAUUGAGUUUGGAAUUAAAAUAGAACAAUCCCCAAUUUUUCUGGACUGGAGGCAGAGCCAUACAUUUCACUUAGCAACUGAAAACUUUUCAAUUUGUGCGGCGGGUCUUCAACAGAACCCAGCCAUUAAAUAGGUCAGGGAUGGAUGUACCCAGGCUACAUUGCUCUCUGAGUCAAACAAAGAAAGUUGGGAACACAUUCGUCAAACAUCAUUUGUUUCACACAGAAGGAAAUGUUUGCAAGUAGGGUUUAUACAUAAAAGCAAAUAAUGCAUUUAAUAGAUGUACGAGCUUGGGUUUUCAAAAGCAAUGCCAGGACUAGUAACUUCUUUCAAAGCUUGUACUGGUAAGACAUCUAAAAAGGAAAAAUCCAAAUGACACAUAUUUCCAUUACAAUGUUUAGUCACAGGAAACAAAUCCUUGGGUGGGAUUCAUCACAGCCAAAUAUAAUGAUUAUCACCACAUGGUGACUUUGACAAAGCUGGCCCUGAUUUGACUCACUGACCUGGUCCUGCAUGGGUCACAAACUAGAUAAAAGUUUACGACACUGAGGCAGCGAACCUCUGAACAUAUCUCUGUUAAAACUGUCUUUGGUAAAUGUGGCGAUAUCUGCCAGGAUCAAUACGCGCUGGUGAUAUGUUUUUAAUCAUGCGCAUUUUCAUGUUGGUUGCACAAUGCCGCUCAAAGCACAUGUCCACUCAUGGGGUCAGUGAUUUCUACUGUUUCAAUAUUAAUUAACCUCACUUUUUACACUGUGAUUUUAUUCCCAACUGUAAUAUAUGUUUGUUUUUUAUCUGUUUAAGUGUGACGAGUAAGUUUUAUUAAGAAUUUUCAUCCUUCAAAUAUGCAUAAUUUAAAUGAUUUCUCUUCAUUUGGAGCUCUUUAAAAAUUGUGUUUAUGAUUGCAGACAUAUAUGCUUGUGUCCAUCUUCAUAACAUUGAGAACAUGUACAACUGAAGCUAAUCCCCUUUUGCCCCCUUCUAAUCCCACUCUCCCAAAACCACUUCAUAAUGAUCUCCUCUUGAAAGGUAAAUCAAUUAUAUAACGACAACAAAAGAACCGUUUUGUCAUAAAAUGGUAAUUAGUUUGGGUCCUGACCUCCCUCUUGGCACCUCGACUCCCCCAGCUGAGGACCGGGGCAGGUCCGCAGUCCACACUUAACGACAGGCAGGCGUAACACACUGGCUGAGCAUUGUGGGGCCUUUGUCUUCAUUCAGGGAGAGAUGAAGUUCUUGCCGCCACGUUUAUCAAUCAUGGAGGGGCUCCAGCUGUUCCAAGGGCUUCGGCCUGGCGUCAACAGCCGGCUUUACAAAUUGUCUGUGAAUAGCAAGGAAAAGGGACCCCCACUACACACACACACACACACCCCACCAUGCACACACAAACAACAUUAGCAUCAACAUACAUGCACAGACCAGCAUCACAUGUACACAAUCACACCAUUCACUACACAAAAUACAUACACCAAAGCUUUCAUCGCACAUGCAGAGAUGCACCAAAACAACAUAAUGCCUCCUAUUGUUCACGUCUGGUGACUAAUGUUUCUCCACAGCCUUUUCACAGGCACGACCAACCCUGCCGUCUGCUCGGUGCAAUUACAAGAUGGAUUAACAGCUCUUUCUAACACUGUCAUCAUCACCUUGCAUGCCUUGGAGGAAUCUGAGGAUGCUGCAUUCCUGGGUGAGAAUCACAUCCAAUUACAGCGUAAUGAAUGAAGGAGAGACACAUCCUGCUGAACAAAUCCGGCAUUCUGAAGCCAGUCUGAAUGAACUCACAGCGCAGUUUUGAGGGCAUUUUCUGUCUACAGAUCCUAAGCAUCGAUGUCUCAGCAUGUCAAAGAUCAACUAGACUUCAACAUCAAACCCUGCAAGUGAAGAAUUAUUAUUGUAUGUUUGCAUGAAGGAUUUGUAGGCUUUCACCGAGAUGAAAAGUUACAUGUGUCAAAAAUAUAGAUAGAUGAACAUGUGAAUUAGUUGUUCUCCAAGGUCAAAUAGUGAUUGCAUUGUUACUCUCACAUGCCACGGUGUCAAAGCGAUCUGCACUCUCACUUUUUCAUCAUAUUCUGCACAUCAACAAAAUAGCAAGAGAAUGAAGUGAAGGGGACACCGAGAGAAAGAGAAGAGAAAACAACAGAGAGAGGAAGAAGAAAGAGGGAGAAUGAGAGAGGGAUACAAAUUGAUCGUUUGGUGACAAGAUCGGUCAUAGUCAUCCUGGGCGGAUGGAUGAAUGUCUUUGAUGGCCACUGCAGGUUCAGGCAGGGAGAGUGUCUGAAAACAAGAGAAAUUGGUUUGGGCCCUCGGGAGGGGAAUCAAUGUGUGAGGGGCAUGUAAGUGCUGUGGUGUUGCUCUGUGCAGGGUUAUGGGGGUUGUCCGAAGUUUGAGCGGUCUUGAAUGUGACAGCUAAAUUCUGUUUUGAAAUGUCCCUGUUUUGUUUGCUUUAUAACAAAGAAAAACUCUCAGGGUUGACAUUUUUAGACUUUUAGGGUCAGUUUCCAAAUGUUUAUGUAUAAUUGGUAUGUUUACAGGCAGCUGCGGUGGCAUUUAGACAUCCCAGUUAUAGAUCAAAGUUCUGCUUCCUGUAGGUUGCCUGUAACUCUCCUAAAUGCAACUGUGCAAAAGCUUACAGUAGUAGGAUGUAAGUACUAUUAUUUAUGCUGAAGCAUGAUCAAAUAGGAUUGGGUUGAGGCCACUUUUGUUUUUUUUGUGAGCCCAUGGAACCUGACGUAGUUUGAAAAUUCAUAGUUCUUAAUACAAAAGUAGAUGUGUUAUUUAGGUCUCUACAUGUCCAAAUAAUUUAGGAUUGUGUGGACUCAACCAGGGAAGUACACACGGUAGCUGUAUUUUUAAAAGACAACAAACAGACUUACCUUCAUCCACACAUUUUCCAUCUAUUGCUUCCACACUUUACUUGUCAGAUGGUUUGGUGAUUAUCUGUUCAGCAUGGCUCACUAGUUUCAUUUUACGUUAACAAUGACAACAGUUUGAAAGGCACGACCUGCUGUGCUUAUACACUGAAUUUCACAUUCAAUUUGAUAAUAACAGGACAAUUAAAUGACAGAUUAGUGGUGGUAAUUUUAUCAUUACUUGAAAAAACUAUGUUUUUUGUGAUAGUAUUAUAAAAUAUACUGUAGCUUCACCACCUUUUGUAGGUUAAUAAUAUAAUGGAAACAAUAGCAGACAAAACAGCAAUGGGAAUGUUUUGUUCUGUAAACCAAAAACUCUAAGUGACACAUUCUUUCCAAUUAUUGCAACAACAUUCAUUUUCUUUAUUCAUGACAAACAUGCAUUUCUAAUGUAUAUUUAAAUGUAUCUAAGGGUUAUUAAAGUAGAUAUUGGAGUUCACAUGAACUUUUACUCCACGGACACCUGCUGUCCAGCAGGCCUGAGGAGGUCAGCAGCUGGCACAGUCACCAUGGUUCAUUUUUUUCUUUUAUGGAAAAUAUUGCCCCUCCAAACGAUGUCCCUUCAUCUUCUUUGGGUUGUAGGGCUGCAGUUUUUAAUCUUUGACCAGCGGUUGUGUGCGAGGAGGUGCGACAGAGCCUAAAUAUAACCUAUCUAUAUAUAUCUGUGGGAAGCGCUGCUGUACUUCCUCAGUAAUGGCAGCCACUGUCUAUGUCAGGGAGGCAGUAAUAUAAUUUUAUUAACUGAUUAGUCUCUAUUUUCAGGUUGGAAACAAGAAUCAAAAUCUCAUGCGAGUUAAUGGGUCCGUUGUGACUUGAAUAGUUAUAUGUGUUGGAUUAUGAUUUUUCUGCAAGAGUCUCUUUGAACGAUGAUGCAACCGAUUGUCAAGUCGACUGUGCUCUGGUAAUGAGUCAUAUGACAACUCCUGGGGUUUCUCCUAACUAUCCAGGCAAAUGUCAGCAGUCUACCCCCCAUUCCCUUUGAUGACCUAUUAAAUAUUAUGAGGACCCCCUCCUGUGUGCACUGUAGUCUCACUCAUAUCAAGAUGGUGUUUAAUGCCCAUGAGACAAACAACAGACAGAUUAAAGCUAUUAUACCCUGCUGCACUCCCACAUUCACCCUCUACAAAGUGGAGUUGUGAUGAGUUGUUUAAUAGUUUUUAAGGCUUAAAACCAGUUUAUGCAGUAAAGCACGAUGUUGGGUUAUAAACGACGUCUGAGAAUUUAUAGUGCAGCGAUCUUUCAAAACAGAAGGAGACUUACUGACCUCUGCAGCAGCUCCAUCUCACAGCGUGUCGCUAGACGUAGAGGACUUACCUCCCUCUGAUCCAGCAGUUGUUAUUAAUAAAGCUACUGAAACCUAAUCAACUUCAAAUACUGCUUGCCAGACAGACAAUAUAUUAAGACAAAUGAUGAUUUUAUUCUCAGUCAAAUGACAGGCUUCAAAUUUCUUGAACACGGUCAUUUUCUGGCUUGUGAGUCAAGUAUAAGGAGCUAAUUAUAUGACAAUCUGAGCAAAAAUAACUUCUCAUUUUCAAGAAUAAUGGGAAAGAAAUGUUAUAGAUUAAUGGCACUAUUUAUCUUUUUUAAAUUUCUGUCUUUCUCUGGUGAUGGCAGCGCUCCCCAAGGAAAAUAUUCAUAAAAUGAAAUUGAAGUCAUAACUUAAUAGGUUAUUACAAUUUUUGAAUGCAUAUCACUUCUCCUUUUGCAGCGCUGUAAAUUUAAAUUGAAGUUUGUGGCGUUCGGAGACACCGGCAGGAGUUUUUUAUGGUGGCACAAGAGAGGGAGGACAUGCAUCUCUGUCAGUGGGGUAUUUGCCAUUCUAAUUUUAUGGCAGGCCAGAUUAUCAGGCAGGAAUGUCAGUGUGCGCAGGCAGACUGCUGACAACACCUCAGCCCUCAGCUAUGUUUCCAUUAGAGAGAGCCAGCGUCCAGGGGUUUGUUCCCUCUAUUAUUUUCUAUUUCUGUCUUUUAUCUUGAUUUAAACUUAGACUUUCUGCAUAUUCCUCUUCUGUCAUUUCUCGUCCUUUCUCGCCUUAUACUCUCGCUCUCUUUCUUCCCUCUUUCCCGCCCUCUUGAUCUGCUAUUUUCCGUAUUCUCACUCCACUUUCUGUCUAUUGUUGCUCCUCAGGGGAGCUGAGGUCUCAGCAGAGACGGAGGAGACGGAGAGAGACGCUCCACGAAUCUCAGGAGGUAAAGCGAGUGAAGGUGGGACACCUAUCUUUAGCCUACUAUCUAUGUAUGGACACAGUGCUAGAGAAGGUAAGCUGUAUUGAGGUGAUUGAAAGAGAGAGAGGGGGAGUGGUGGAGGUACUCCCCCUCACCUAGAUGGAUGGGUGGGAGGUUUUUUUUCCCUCAAGGUCAGGGGGCAAAUUUAUUUAUUUCCCUGGAAGUUACAAUGAAAUUUUACUGAGUACUUUGCUCUGAUGAUGAGAGAGAUCAGUGGCCAUAAAUUUGUCUUGCCAUUUGGUUGCCAGUGAUGAACCAUUUAUUAUGCCGCCUUCAAGGACACAGCAUGGUAUUUGUAUGAUAGUACUAUUCUAUGUAAUGAUAUCCAUUUCAUUGUGCCAUAUAACACAAAUGAGAAAAUUAAGAAUAAAACUGGUCGGUGCAGAGCAGGUCUAGCUUUAUUCAUAGCUAUCUAAUGGGAUAUGUACGGUAAAUGUCACAUGAUAUUUGUGAUGCCCUUGUCCUGGUUUUACAGUAGCGGUUAAAACAUUGACGUUGUCUUGCCUUCGAAAAUUACCACAGGCUUUUGGGAAAGUGCAGCACAGGUGAAAAGCUUGAGUUUUAGUAAAUGUGUCUUUUUUUUUGCCGUAAAAUACAACAUUGAUGCGAAUUUCUUCGCUGAUGAAUAGGAUAAUAAGAAAUGACCCCCAUAAACAACACAUUUAGCUCAUGUUUGGUUUCUCACAUUUAUCAUUCCCAAAGAAUGGGGCUCUUGACUGCACCGUUUAAGCCUUUUUUGGGCUGCCUUUCAACACACAACAGACACCUCCGGGGUCCCUCAGAGGGCAUGAUGAACUAAUGCUCUUUAUUGAUUGGCCAUUUAAAAGCCUCUUGUAGCCUUGGGAGUAUGUUAAUGCUGUGAGGCCCUUUACCCCGCUGCCCUGUGGUCCCCAGGGCCCUUGUGUGUAUUCCUCAGUGGGCUAUCAUAGGGAGUUCAUUAAUGGUCAAUUACUAAUAUCUGAUGAGACUCAUUGUGUUAGGACGACGCUGUAAUGGGCAUCUGUGUCUCUCCUCCUUUGCAAGCAGACAUCACAACAACGCGGGAGCUUUUGCUGCGGCGGGAUCGAGAGGAACGUGUUAGGGAUAAGGAACAACAUCCCAUUAUUUAAGUGUCUGUGGGUCUUAUGUGGAUUUAAUGUUAUUUAUUUGACUUGUUAUCUCAAGUUUGUACGUGCACAGUUUUUGCACAGGGGCCCGCAAUGAUACCGCUGGGAAUUUUUCCUCAGUAAUUUUCGAUUUCUGCUUAGUGAUCGUGCAUGGUGAAAACCUUAAAGUAUAACAUAUUGGAGCGCUCACACAAUCCUGACCUGUUUAAGCGAGGAGACAGCGAGGAGACUUGAUAGGCUGUCAGACCCCAAGUGGGAAGAGCCCCCUGAAUGUGGUGAGGCAUUUUUUGACUGCUGGGCUGAUAUUUGUGGAUAAUAAAAGGAAUAAAUCAGACAAUGGGGCCGAAUAUUUCAUUUGUUAUCCAUAUUCCUUAUGGGAAAAUAAUACAGAAAUGUAAAAACAGCAAUUUCCCACCAGCCACUGCUGGGAUUGUGCUAGAGCAGAAGGGCUGUUUUCAUGUCUAAAGAUAAAGUGCAUCUUUACCAGCCUAUUCUCUCUGGUAUAAAUCUAACAGGCAGCUUAUACAUUACCUGUUCCAGUGCAACAUGGUUCGGCAUAAGUAUGCUAUUGUAAUAUGUUAUUAUUUCCAAGUAUUUUCCUCCUCUCACUUCCUGUCUGUCAACAUGUCUCUUUCUCGUUCUAUAACUGUCCCUCCUCUCUUCCUUUCAUGUCCUCUAUCUGCUCUCCAGAGGACAAUAUUCAAUCUCUGGGACUUUGGUAACUUGUGAUGACAUUAUAAUGACCCUCACUUUUUGCUCCUUCUGGUGAUGGAUCCCCUGAGUUAUCUGUCCUUCUGCUGAGAGGUGAAGAUUACCUCAAUGAAAUGGGCCUGUGAAGUGAUAACCACCGUGCAUUGUAGGCUACCUGGCUACUUUACAAAUGGCUGAAAAUAAACACAUUAGGGUAGAGUAGAGGUACUGUGCUCGACUGGCUUUGGUCCCAGACUCAGUCAAAGUUUGGAAUGCAGCUUUGUGUAUCCUAUCGCUGAUAAGGAGCUAAUCAGAAGGAAUAUUAAACAAAAAGGGAUUCUAAAGGGAGUCAAAGGCCACAACCUAUCAACAUAAAUUCAUGAGCAAUGAAGCUUUUGCCAACUUAAAUCACCAGUUUCACUUUUCAACAUACUGAUUUCAACUUUUAAGAAAUCCAUGAUAUCUCUGCUGAAAUGUAAAUAUUGCUAAUUCAAAAUUGUUUUAACAUUUUUUUCAGGUUUCAUGAUGAAUGUAAGGCAAAAUGUACACAGCAAUGAUCCCAGCAGUAAACUAUUUGUGCAGACCUCCGAUGCCAGGAAAAAGGCAGAUUUGGUGGGCUUUUUAUGCCAACUCAGCACUCAGUCCCACAGUGCCCCGUCCCAUCUGUCAGUGGACCCUUUAGUGGCGGGGAGCACGGGGGUGACAGGGGCUGAAAGCAGGGCAAUUGGGAUCAGUCUGUGUCUCACUGCCAUUAUCAGUUUUGCCCUGACAACACAUCUACUUUUCACUUUCACCCCAGAAACAGGGGAGGCGGAGGGGGCCUUCACAGAUGCAGUGGCAAGAGCAGAUGAUGGACAUGAAAAUGAGCUUCUUUUUGUCAACCCCCCUUCACUGAGUGGAUGGAAGAAAUUGUGGUGUCAUAUCUUGUCAGAGCUUGGCUCCUGGCCAAGAGGAUAUUCAUGCUGAAGUACAUUCAGACACCUUUUCUACUUCUGAUUUCACAAUAAACAGGAUGAACAGGCAGGAAAGUGCUGCUUGUUACACAGAACUUCACAGAGGUUAGCAGGAAUUCAUUGAAAUACACUGCAAACGUUUGUCAUGGUAACUCGACAUGGUCAGUUUGGUCACCUAGUGACAAUUUGUUCAACUUCCUCAACAUCAUUUAAAUUGGACUACAACUUAUUUAGGUUUGCAGCUCUAUACACAUGUCAAACAUUACUGCAAUGGCUCACAUUUCCUUUCAUCCUCCUACUAUUAUGUUUUUUUUGUAGAGAAUAAUAGUUGCAAUAAUAUUUGCCUUGUUUGUUACAAGUGUAUCGUGCAUUUUAUUCAGGCUCUGAUGCUCUUAAAUACAUCAGGAUGGAACAUGUGACACAUUUAAUAUAACUGUCGGUAUACAACAUCUGAAUUUUUCUACAAUUAAUAUAAUAUAAUGGAGCCAAAACUGUAAAUGCAAACCGUAAAAAAAAUGUUAAAUUGUGCUUAUGCUAAAUAGUUUUUUUUCCACAAGUGAAGCGAUUCUGCUGAAUGAUUUGGACAGUGGGCAGAGGUGUGGGCGAGGGGCCGCUCUUCUGAUCAUUGAUGACCGCCAGCCAGCGCAGGCCUCUGGUGAUAUGUGGGCCCUCCAAGCUCCGGUAGCCCCACCACACCACACCCUGGGGUGCAACAAAUAUCAGCAUUGUAAUUUCACGCCUGUGAUUAUUAUCGCGAGCUCUAUCUCUGACUGGGAAUCCUCCACCCAUCCUCUUUAGUCCUCCCAGCUGAGAUACUGUUUAACAGCCUCUCCCCUGGACCUGUGCUCCUAUACACACACACACACACACACACACACACACACACACACACACACUCUCAGACACACUUAUGUGUGUACACACACAAACACACACAAUCUUUUAAUGUCUGCCCUCCAUGGGCCCGUUUUAGGCUUUCUCAUUUCUUCUUCUCCCAUCUUCUGUUAAUUCACCACCAUCUGCCUCAGCAUCUGUCUGAGGAGCCAGAAAAAAAGUGUCUGCCAUGCCGAAGAAACUGAAUGCAUUUUCCCGCUCUUGUUUUUUUUUUUUUCUCUCUUCCUUUAGCUUCUUUUCUCGAUCCCUCACCCUCUUGCCCAUUUAAAUGCCAGUGGCAGCAUCCUCUUCAGUCUUUGUCUGGCCUUCUGCUCCACCCCCUCUUCUGACUGGCACUGAUUUAGCAUAAUCUCUAAAAAAAAACCUUGAUCCCACCCCCUCA